CCUGAGCGGGGUAAAGCCAGAG
rnacentral:snRNA from 1 species